GGCUGCUAUUGAGCAGGCUGUUGAGGAUGGUGUUGACAUCAUUAAUCUUUCAGUUGGGCCAAACAGCCCACCAGCAAGUACAAGAACCACAUUUCUAAAUCCUUUCGAUGCUGCCCUUCUUUCGGCUGUCAAAGCAGGAGUGUUUGUUGCACAAGCAGCCGGAAAUGGAGGCCCAUUUCCGAAAACCUUGGUAUCUUUCAGCCCAUGGAUUGCAACCGUUGCUGCUGCAGUUGACGAUCGUAGAUACAAAAACCAUAUGGUCCUCGGAGAUGGGAGAAUGCUACCUGGGCUUGGAUUGUCACCUGCAACACAAUUGAAUAGAACAUACAAGUUAGUCUCUGCGAAUGAUGUGUUGCUGGAUUCCUCUGUUUUAAAGUACAGCCCGCUGGACUGUCAGAGACCGGAACUAUUAAAUAAGAACUUAGUGGAGGGGAAUAUUCUUCUUUGUGGCUACUCCUUCAACUUCGUUUCAGGAACUGCAUCGAUUAAACAGGUUUCUCAAACCGCCAGGAUCCUUGGUGCUGCUGGCUUUGUAGUUGCCGUGGAGAACUCUUACCCCGGAACCAAAUUUGAUCCUGUACCUGUCAGCACACCUGGGAUUCUUAUCAUAGAUACUAGCAAAUCAAAGGAACUUGUAGACUACUACAACUGUUCCACCAAAAGAGAUUGGGCUGGGCGGCCAAUAAGUUUUGGAGCAACAGCUAGCAUUUCAGACGGUUUGGCACCUAUACUUCACAAUUCAGCUCCACAGGUAGCAUUGUUCUCUUCUCGAGGACCAGAUGUAAAGGAUUUCAGCUUUCUCGAUGCCGAUGUUCUUAAACCAGAUAUAUUAGCUCCAGGCUCUCUUAUUUGGGCUGCUUGGUCACCAAAUGGAACAGACGAGGCCAAUUAUGUUGGAGAGGGAUUUGCCAUGGUAUCUGGUACAAGCAUGGCUGCUCCUCAUAUUGCGGGUAUUGCAGCACUCAUAAAACAAAAGCACCCAAAAUGGAGUCCCGCUGCUAUCAAGUCCGCCUUGAUGACAACAGCCACAACACUAGAUCGAACGGGCAGGCCUCUUCAAGCACAGCAAUAUUCUGAGACCGAAACCACGACAUUGGCAGCGGCUACACCGUUCGAUUAUGGCAGUGGUGCUGUUCACCCAGAGGCUGCUUUAGACCCAGGGCUAAUUCUGGACGUGUCCUAUGAUGACUACGUCAAAUUCUUAUGCUCCGUACCCAAUGUCGACCCUCACGAGAUCUUGAACAUCACAAACUCGCCUUGCACCACCAAAGGCCACCCUGCCGACCUUAACAUCCCAUCCAUCACCUUAUCGCAUCUCGAGGGCACACAAACAGUGAAGCGAACCGUCAUGAAUGUCGGUGACGAAACCGAGACCUACGUCAUUGCCACCCGAAUGUCGCCGGAGAUCGCGCUUGAAGCUACGCCUCCAGCAAUCACGGUGGUGCCCGGAGCAUCACGGGAUGUAAUGGUGAGCCUGACUGCCAGGUCGAUAACGGGUAGGUAUGCGUUCGGGGAGGUUCUGCUGAAGGGCAAUAGAGGGCACCAGCUGAGGAUUCCGGUGGUGGCCAUGGGGUUUGAUAGCUAGGGAUAUAAUACAUAUGUUUUGAGUACUUGUAUUAAUAUUAAGGAACCAUAUUAUUCUUUGUAGUAUGUGAAAUAAAAUAUACAGGAGGCUGAG
rnacentral:misc_RNA from 1 species